rnacentral:rRNA from 1 species
CUACGGGUGGCUCCAGUGGGGAAUAUUGCACAAUGGGCGCAAGCCUGAUGCAGCCAUGCCGCGUGUAUGAAGAAGGCCUUCGGGUUGUAAAGUACUUUCAGCGGGGAGGAAGGGAGUAAAGUUAAUACCUUUGCUCAUUGACGUUACCCGCAGAAGAAGCACCGGCUAAUCCGUGCCAGCAGCCGCGGUAAUACGGAGGGUGCAAGCGUUAAUCGGAAUUACUGGGCGUAAAGCGCACGCAGGCGGUUUGUUAAGUCAGAUGUGAAAUCCCCGGGCUCAACCUGGGAACUGCAUCUGAUACUGGCGAGCUUGAGUCUCGUAGAGGGGGGUAGAAUUCCAGGUGUAGCGGUGAAAUGCGUAGAGAUCUGGAGGAAUACCGGUGGCGAAGGCGGCCCCCUGGACGAAGACUGACGCUCAGGUGCGAAAGCGUGGGGAGCAAACAGGAUUAGAUACCCGCGUAGUC